GGAAACUUCUUUUCCUCCUUCCACAAUCUAGUAGAAUACUUCUCAUUUAAGAAUGAAAGUUCAGAAUGUAAAAGAAAAAAUGAGUCAGAUGAACAAGAAGAAAAGGUAAAAUGACUUCUGUUGACACACAGAAGUAGGCGGACCCAGGCAAGGGGUUUGAUGUGUUCCUGCAAAAAGAAUCAGAGAGCGAUAAGGGCGAAUGGAAGAGCAGGACUAGGCAACAUAACAGUGGAGGUCUGCGGCCACCUGACCAGGAAGACAAAGUGGAUGAGACUUUCUGCUUGGAGCAGAUAGGGACAACCCCAUCAUCUUCGUGAGCACUGGUCCUCAUGGGGGACUUCAACCACCCCAGUAUCUGUUGGAGGGACAACACAGCAGGGCAGAAGCAAUCCAGGAGGUUCAUGGUGUGCUUUAAUGAUCACUUCCUUCUCCAAGUAACAGAGGAGACAAUGAAGAGAGGUGCCACGACUGUAUCUUGUUCUCAUUAGCAAAGAGGGUUUGCUGGGGAACGUGAAGGUCAAAGGCAUCCUUAGCUUGCAGUGCACAUGACAUGGUGGAUUUCAAGAUCCUUAGGGCAGCAAGGGGAAUGGAUAGCAAGCUUACAACCCUGACAUUCAGGAGAGGAAAUUUGACCUUUUGAAAGAUCUACUUGGUACAGUCCCAUGGGAUGAGGUUCUACAGGGAAGAGGGAC
ensembl:lncRNA